AAGAAUUUAAAGAGUGCACUUCAUUGUGGCUCGACAUUUUCUACCAUUCACCCUAGUGCACCGUAAUACCUUUUUUAUUAGACUCUACAAAGUUAAUGAAUGUAACACUUUUUUAUAAAGAAAUA
rnacentral:misc_RNA from 1 species